UUUACUAUAUACGUAAUAAUAAUUUCAUUAUGUAGGACCGUGAGUGAGUUGGAGCAACCAGCAGGCAAAAAUAAAAAUUCACGCACACGGUAGGGUCGAGAAGUUUUGCUUCUGUAGCUGAGGCCGAGGAAGUCAAAUCUGGACAAAAAGUUGGACGCCUUCAGCUUUUUGAGAUUACGCAUAGGAAGAAAGAUAGAUCUCCUAUGACAUCCGAAGCUGGAGAAAUUAUGGUAUAUUUACUUAAUAAUAUUUGAUUUAUUCUAAA